rnacentral:rRNA from 1 species
GAUGAACGCUGGCGGCGUGCUUAACACAUGCAAGUCGAACGGAAAGGCCCCUGCGUGCAUGCGCACUCGAGUGGCGAGCGGGUGAGUCGCACGUGGGUGAUCUCCCCCUCACUGCGUGAUAUGCCUGGGAAACUGUGUCUAUUACAGGAUAGGACGAUGGUUUGGAUGCGAUUGUGGAACGUUUUACGGUGUGGGAUGGGCUCGCGGCCUAUCAGCUUGUUGGUGGGGUAAGGGCUAACCAAGGGGUCGACGGGUGGCCGGCCUGGGAGGGUGUACGGCCACAUUGGGACUACGGUACGCCCCAGCCGCCUACGGGAGGCAGCAGUGGGGAAUAUGGCACAAUGGGCGCAAGCCUGAUGCGGCGACGCCGCGUGGGGGAUAACGGCCUUCGGGUUGUAAACUCCUUUCGCUGGGGACGAAGCGCAAGUGACGGUACCUGGAGAAGAAGCACCGGCUAACUACGUG